rnacentral:misc_RNA from 1 species
GCGGACUAGACUCACUCGCCGGGCUAUCAGCCACCUUCUCCGGAGGGUCAUUCUUCGACACUGCAGGGGCCACUGCCUCAGCCACGGACUCAGUCUCAGCCAUCUUGGGUUUAGCUGCAGGCUCAGCAGCUUUGGGGGCAUCGUCGGAUUUGGCAGCCGGUUCACUUAGAGCUACCGAUUCCGGGGCAGGUGUAGCUGCCGGCUCCU